UACGUAGGUGGCAAGCGUUAUCCGGAAUUACUGGGUGUAAAGGGCGCGCAGGCGGCCCUGCAAGUCGGAUGUGAAAGAUCAAGGCUCAACCUUGACAGGCCAUUCGAAACUGUGGGACUUGAGUGUCAGAGGGGAAAGUGGAAUUCCUAGUGGAGCGGUAAAAUGCGCAGAUAUUAGGAGGAACACCGGUGGCGAAGGCGACUUUCUGGCUGACAACUGACGCUGAGGCGCGAAAGCGUGGGGAGCAAACAGGAUUAGAUACCCUCGUA
rnacentral:rRNA from 1 species